AAGGUCAUAUGGUUAAAGGUAUCGGAAUUAAAGAACCACCUAUCUAACAACUUACCUGGCAAAAUGGAGAUGUCAGAAAAAGAUGAGAUAGUAGUAUUACCAAUAGAGAGAGCUUAAUAAAUCAUUGCCUGAAUAUCAUUGACAGUAAGAGAUGUGGCUGCUUGUACUGUAGGUUCUGACACGACAGUAGCAGUAGCGGAGGAUGGGCGAUCUCUAGGACUUCGAGUCUUUGCUCGCAUAUUGUUGGAGUUUGGAUGGGGUCAAUUCUAAACAAUAUAUCCAACUUUCUUACAAUAGAUACACUAUAUAGAAGAUAUAUCUUGAAAUCGAGAAUCAGGCAGAGGUCGAGAACCAGAUGCCUGACAAUUAUGGGCAAUAUGGCCAAACUUCUUGCAUGAGUGGCAUUGGAUUUGAGACAAACCCUUUGGUUUAACCCGUACAGCCAAAAUGAGAGAACCAUCAGAGUUGGAGAAGAUGAUUUUCUUCCGAGUUUCUUCGACAAUCAACUUAGAAAGGACGGUGUCAACAGAUGGAAGAGGACAUAUGUACAGAAUAGAUGUUUAAAUAAACUCAAACUCAUCAUGAAGAGCCAUUCAAAAUUGAACAAGACAAAACUCUUCACGAAAUUGAUAAUAGAGUUCAGCAUCAUGGGUCCAAUUGGGCUACAUAAGGGCAAGUUGAUCCCAAAUUAAAGAUAUCUAAGAAUGAAAAUCAGCCACGGAUUGUUCUGGUUGUUGCUUGAGAUUGCGAAUAUCCAGUUCGAAUUUGUAUUUGAGGGUAAAAUUCGUCUGAUUGUACUAUUUGGUGAGGAAAUCCCAAACCUCCUUUGCGAUGUCAAACAUGCUAAAGUGUAGAUUGAUAGACGUACUGAUAAUAUUUGAAAUCGAUGUCAUAAUCUUGUUGUUGUUGAUUUUUC
rnacentral:lncRNA from 1 species